GUGCUCAUUGUUUAAAAUAAUCCAAACUCUCAUUCAACCUAAAAUUACACACCGAAACAAAAAUGACGCAGCCACUGUGUUAGAGGAAGGACGAAAAUGACAUUGUCACUGCGAUAUGCUCCGGCGACGAUUUGCUCCGACGACGAUUUGCUCCAGCGCUGAUCUUCUCAGCGGCGUUCUCCUCUGACUAGAAUCUCCUCUCCAUCGAGAUUCUGUUUUGUGAAUCGAAACUCUCUCCCUAUCUCCGUUAGUGACGAUCUCUCCAGCGAUGAUCUCCUAUGGUGAUGUUCUCCCCGGCGGCGCGUUCUCCUCCUCCGUCAAGAUUUUCUCCAGAUCUGUGAGCUUCUUCUCCUUUUUCGAGCUUAUGCUCUGCUAGCUUCUCCUCAUGCAUUAACGUGCCUUCUCCUCCUCGAUCUAUUUCUCAGUUUGCGUUCUAACUUCUCGCUUCUAGAUCUGUAACUAAAUUCACAUCCUCUUGUUCUAAUUACUUCAAUGAUUGCAGGAAUGAUGCAUAGGACAGAUCAAUGGCUGCGUGAAUUUGAUUCACAAAUAUUUAGUAAUAAUGCACUGAUUGCACUCUAUGUGUUUGUUAUUUUGCUUCUUAGAAAUUACUUCUGUUAGUAUUGUAUUUGGCUGUAUCUCCCGGUUUAAGGCUUGGAGUUUGUUCUUUGUUGCAAUUGAGUUUCAAAGAUUUUGUGAUUUAACUUCAAUUCUGCUUGUUUAAAUCUGGAUAAGUUAUUGGUUGCUUGAAUUAAUGAAUUCUUUCUAUGUUUCGAUUAUUGAUUUCAGUUGGUGCUUCUUGGAAGAAGGAUCAAACAUUGUUAACACUGCUGGUCGCCAAGGUUGCCUGGAACCACAUUAUUUUGAUGAUGAGGAACAUGAUCAUGUGUUUUUAGAAUAAGACAUAUUGUGUGAUGAUUCAGAGUUAAAAACUCUUGUAUCAAAAGAGCAAGAACAAGAGAAGAAUGGAAGAAGCAGCAGCCAUGGUUGAAAACUUUCUCAUUCUCUGCUCUCACAGCUUCUCUUGCUAUUAACUACCUUCACAGAUUCCUUUUCACCUUCACCGUGAAGAAGAAGCAGCCAUGGUUAACUCAUCUUGUUGCAGUUGCUUGCAUCUCUCUUGCUGCUAAAAUGGAAGAGACACAAGUUCCACUUCCUCUUGAUUUACAAGUGGAGGACAAAAAACAUGUGUUUAAGGCAAAAACAAUAAAGAAAAUGGAGAUUUUGGUACUUUCAACUCUUGAGUGGAAGAUGAAUCCACCAACACCUCUCUCUUUCAUUGAUCAUAUCACAAGAAGACUUAAAUGUUUUCAGUUCCUCAACACAUGUCAAUCUCUUCUUCUUUCUCUCUUACCAGGACCUCACAAUAUUCAGGGUAUUGGGGCUGGUUUUGUGCCCAGGAAUUUGAACUAAGAUAUACUUGAUGAAGUUAUAGAGGUAUCGAGUGAUGAAGCUGUUGAAACUGCAAAGCAAUUAGCACUCUAAGAAGGCUUACUGGCAUUGAAUUUAAAUAUCAAAUGCUUUUAUGGCUUUAGCAUCAUUCACUUCAAAUUUUGAAGGUGCUCUGGGGAAGAUUAUUGUGGAAUUUGAUGAUUUGAAAGAACUAGUUUACUGUGAUAUUCCCAGAAAACAGAGGAUUUAUUGUGCAAAUAGUUAGUGGAUUAGAUCAAGAGAGUGAGAUUCCAUCACCAAGAGAGUUAGAAAGUAGGUCUUCUGGCGAGCAACAAAGAAGCAUGAUCUUGCAUGAUAAAGAUUUUAUGUAUUAAGGAUUAUAUAUAUGUUAAGACAAACUAUUGAAAAAUAUUAUCUUUGAUACUUUGUUUUUGGAUUAUGAUUUUUUAUUUUCGGAGACCAUGUAUGAGUUAAAAAUUUUGUUAUGAUGUUUGAUUUAAGGUUAUGCCUUUUGGUUAU